AUGGCCGACCCGGCGCAGCCCGCCCCGGCGCGCGGCGACUUCACGCGGUCGGUCAAGCUCAAGUACGUGAAGCUGGGCUACCACUACCUGAUCACGCACGGCGCGUACCUGGCGGUGGCGCCGCUGCCGGGGCUCGUGGCGGCGCACCUCUCCACCUUCACGAUGCAAGACCUGGCCGACCUCUGGGCCGGCGUCCUGCACCACAGCCUCGGCUCCCUGCUCGCCUGCCUCGCCUUCCUCGUGGCCGCCUGCACCGCCUACCUCGCCACCCGCCCGCGCCCCGUCUACCUCGUCGACUUCGCCUGCUACAAGCCCGACGACGCGCGCAAGUGCAGCCGCGCCCGCUUCAUGGACUGCACCGAGAAGCUCGGCACCUUCACCGACGACAACGUCGAGUUCCAGCGCCGCAUCGUGGAGCGCUCCGGGCUGGGCGAGGAGACGUACCUCCCCGAGGCCGUGCUCAACCUCCCGCCUAACCCCUCCAUGGCCAACGCGCGCAAAGAGGCCGAGCUGGUCAUGUUCGGCGCGCUGGACCAGCUGUUCGCCAAGACGGGCGUCAAGCCCAAGGACAUCGGCGUGCUCGUCGUCAACUGCAGCCUCUUCAACCCCACGCCCUCGCUCUCCGCCAUGGUCGUCAACAAGUACGAGCUCCGGGGCAACAUCGUGAGCUACAACCUGGGCGGCAUGGGGUGCAGCGCGGGGCUCAUCGCCGUCGACCUCGCCAAGGACCUGCUGCAGGCGCAGCCCGGCACGUACGCCGUGGUGAUCAGCAUGGAGAACAUCACGCUCAACUGGUACUUCGGCAACGACCGCUCCAUGCUGGUGUCCAACUGCCUGUUCCGCAUGGGCGGCGCGGCGAUCCUGCUCUCGAACCGCCGGUCGGCGCGGCGGCGCUCCAAGUACCAGCUGGUGCACACGGUGCGCACGCACAAGGGCGCCGACGACAAGGCGUUCCGGUGCGUGUACCAGCAGGAGGACGAGUCGGGCAAGCGGGGCGUGUCGCUGUCCAAGGACCUGAUGGGCAUCGCCGGCGGCGCGCUCAAGACCAACAUCACCACGCUGGGGCCGCUGGUGCUCCCGCUGAGCGAGCAGCUGCUCUUCUUCGCGACGCUGGCGGCCAAGAAGCUGGUGAACGCCAAGGUGGAGCCCUACAUCCCGGACUUCAAGCUGGCGUUCGAGCACUUCUGCAUCCACGCCGGCGGGCGGGCGGUGCUGGACAAGAUGGAGAGCAACCUGCAGCUGACGGAGUGGCACAUGGAGCCGUCGCGGAUGACGCUGCACCGGUUCGGCAACACGUCGAGCAGCUCGCUGUGGUACGAGCUGGCCUACGCCGAGGCCAAGGGCCGGAUCAGGAAGGGCGACCGCACCUGGCAGAUCGCCUUCGGGUCCGGGUUCAAGUGCAACAGCGCCGUGUGGAGGGCGCUCCGGUCGGUGAACCCGGCCAACCCCAGGGACGUCGCCGGCAACCCCUGGGCCGACGAGAUCCACCGCUUCCCCGUGCCCGUGCCCAAGUUCUCCGCCAUCGAUCCUCCAACUCCAUCCAGCGACACCCAGGAAUAA
rnacentral:rRNA from 1 species